rnacentral:rRNA from 1 species
AUUGAACGCUGGCGGCAGGCCUAACACAUGCCAGUCGAGCGGAUGAAGGGAGCUUGCUCCUGGAUUCAGCGGCGGACGGGUGAGUAAUGCCUAGGAAUCUGCCUGGUAGUGGGGGAUAACGUCCGGAAACGGGCGCCAAUACCGCAUACGUCCUGAGGGAGAAAGUGGGGGAUCUUCGGACCUCACGCUAUCAGAUGAGCCUAGGUCGGAUUAGCUAGUUGGUGGGGUAAAGGCCUACCAAGGCGACGAUCCGUAACUGGUCUGAGAGGAUGAUCAGUCACACUGGAACUGAGACACGGUCCAGACUCCUACGGGAGGCAGCAGUGGGGAAUAUUGGACAAUGGGCGAAAGCCUGAUCCAGCCAUGCCGCGUGUGUGAAGAAGGUCUUCGGAUUGUAAAGCACUUUAAGUUGGGAGGAAGGGCAGUAAGUUAAUACCUUGCUGUUUUGACGUUACCAACAGAAUAAGCACCGGCUAACUUCGUG